AUUGAACGCUAGCGGGAUGCUUUACACAUGCAAGUCGAACGGCAGCGCGGACUUCGGUCUGGCGGCGAGUGGCGAACGGGUGAGUAAUGUAUCGGAACGUGCCCAGUAGCGGGGGAUAACUACGCGAAAGCGUAGCUAAUACCGCAUACGCCCUACGGGGGAAAGCAGGGGAUCGUAAGACCUUGCACUAUUGGAGCGGCCGAUAUCGGAGUAGCUAGUUGGUGAGGUAACGGCUCACCAAGGCGACGAUCCGUAGCUGGUUUGAGAGGACGACCAGCCACACUGGGACGGGGACACGGCCCAGACUCCUACGGGAGGGAGCAGUGGGGAAUUUUGGACAAUGGGGGCAACCCUGAUCCAGCCAUCCCGCGUGUGAGAUGAAGGCCUUCGGGUUGUAAGGCACUUUUGGCAGGAAAGAAACGUCGCGGGCUAAUACCCCGUGGAACUGACGGUACCUGCAGAAUAAGCACCGGCUAACUACGUG
rnacentral:rRNA from 1 species